CCAAUACAUGCAAGUCGAGCGAACAGAUGAGAAGCUUGCUUCUCUGAUGUUAGCGGCGGACGGGUGAGUAACACGUGGGUAACCUACCUAUAAGACUGGGAUAACUCCGGGAAACCGGGGCUAAUACCGGAUAAUAUUUUGAACCGCAUGGUUCAAUAGUGAAAGACGGUUUCGGCUGUCACUUAUAGAUGGACCCGCGCCGUAUUAGCUAGUUGGUAAGGUAACGGCUUACCAAGGCGACGAUACGUAGCCGACCUGAGAGGGUGAUCGGCCACACUGGAACUGAGACACGGUCCAGACUCCUACGGGAGGCAGCAGUAGGGAAUCUUCCGCAAUGGGCGAAAGCCUGACGGAGCAACGCCGCGUGAGUGAUGAAGGUCUUCGGAUCGUAAAACUCUGUUGUUAGGGAAGAACAAAUUUGUUAGUAACUGAACAAGUCUUGACGGUACCUAACCAGAAAGCCACGGCUAACUACGUGCCAGCAGCCGCGGUAAUACGUAGGUGGCAAGCGUUAUCCGGAAUUAUUGGGCGUAAAGCGCGCGUAGGCGGUUUCUUAAGUCUGAUGUGAAAGCCCACGGCUCAACCGUGGAGGGUCAUUGGAAACUGGGAAACUUGAGUGCAGAAGAGGAGAGUGGAAUUCCAUGUGUAGCGGUGAAAUGCGCAGAGAUAUGGAGGAACACCAGUGGCGAAGGCGGCUCUCUGGUCUGUAACUGACGCUGAUGUGCGAAAGCGUGGGGAUCAAACAGGAUUAGAUACCCUGGUAGUCCACGCCGUAAACGAUGAGUGCUAAGUGUUAGGGGGUUUCCGCCCCUUAGUGCUGCAGCUAACGCAUUAAGCACUCCGCCUGGGGAGUACGACCGCAAGGUUGAAACUCAAAGGAAUUGACGGGGACCCGCACAAGCGGUGGAGCAUGUGGUUUAAUUCGAAGCAACGCGAAGAACCUUACCAAAUCUUGACAUCCUUUGACCGCUCUAGAGAUAGAGUCUUCCCCUUCGGGGGACAAAGUGACAGGUGGUGCAUGGUUGUCGUCAGCUCGUGUCGUGAGAUGUUGGGUUAAGUCCCGCAACGAGCGCAACCCUUAAGCUUAGUUGCCAUCAUUAAGUUGGGCACUCUAGGUUGACUGCCGGUGACAAACCGGAGGAAGGUGGGGAUGACGUCAAAUCAUCAUGCCCCUUAUGAUUUGGGCUACACACGUGCUACAAUGGAUAAUACAAAGGGCAGCGAAUCCGCGAGGCCAAGCAAAUCCCAUAAAAUUAUUCUCAGUUCGGAUUGUAGUCUGCAACUCGACUACAUGAAGCUGGAAUCGCUAGUAAUCGUAGAUCAGCAUGCUACGGUGAAUACGUUCCCGGGUCUUGUACACACCGCCCGUCACACCACGAGAGUUUGUAACACCCGAAGCCGGUGGAGUAACCUUUUAGGAGCUAGCCCUUAAAGU
rnacentral:rRNA from 1 species